AUGAAAUGCCUGAGUUGGAACUGCCUAAGGCUUGGGAACCCCGAGGCAGUUCGAGAGCUUCGGAAAUUAACGAAGCAAGAAGGGCCUGCUUUGCUCUUUGUUUCAGAGAGGAAGAUCAGAGCUAAGAGGGUGGAUAUUUUGCAACAUAGUCUGGGUUUUGCGGGAUGUUUUGCGGUGGAUAGUGCGGGUUUAAGUGGUGGAAUUGGCCUGUUUUGGUCAAGUGAUGUAAUAGUCGAGCUAAAGAGUUAUAGUUUUGGACAUAUUGAUGUCAUGGUCCGGGAAGCAGAUUUGUCUACUCUGGAAUGGAGGUUUACGGGGUUUUAUGGAGCCCCAAGGACUGAAGAUUGUCACCAUAGCUGGCGAUGCUUGAUAAUGAUGCAUGCAAUACCACACUAUGUAUGGUUGGAUGUGCCUCGGAGAUUUCAACAAGACUAUGUAUGGUACGGAACAUUAUAG
rnacentral:rRNA from 1 species